rnacentral:rRNA from 1 species
GGCCCAGGCCGGCAGCUACACAUGCAGUCGAGCGGUAACAGAAGAAAGCUUGCUUUCUUGCUGACGAGCGGCGGACGGGUGAGUAAUGUAUGGGGAUCUGCCCGAUAGAGGGGGAUAACUACUGGAAACGGUGGCUAAUACCGCAUGACGUCUACGGACCAAAGCAGGGGCUCUUCGGACCUUGCGCUAUCGGAUGAACCCAUAUGGGAUUAGCUAGUAGGUGAGGUAAAGGCUCACCUAGGCGACGAUCUCUAGCUGGUCUGAGAGGAUGAUCAGCCACACUGGGACUGAGACACGGCCCAGACUCCUACGGGAGGCAGCAGUGGGGAAUAUUGCACAAUGGGCGCAAGCCUGAUGCAGCCAUGCCGCGUGUAUGAAGAAGGCCUUAGGGUUGUAAAGUACUUUCAGCGGGGAGGAAGGUGAUAAAGUUAAUACCUUUAUCAAUUGACGUUACCCGCAGAAGAAGCACCGGCUAACUCUGUGCCAGCAGCCGCU